rnacentral:lncRNA from 10 species
ACACACGCAGAGGUAAGACCAUUUAAAGAUGGAAAGAAGAUUACUGUCUACAAGACAAGGAAAGAGGCCGUAGAAGAAACCAACCAGGCCAAAACUUUCAUCUCAGACUUCUAGCCUUCAGAACUACUUGCAUCACAAGAAGAAAAGAAGAAAAAAGAGAUGUAACUAUGGGAAAUACUGGAUAUGUUAAUUCACUUGACCUGUAGUAAUCACUUCAUUAUAUAUGUAUACCAAAACAUCUUGCAGUACAACUUAAACAUACAGAAUUUUUUAAAAGACUGCAUCUUCAUGCUUGCUUAAGGACAUAAAUUUUCAGAGAGCACUGUGAGAAAAUAAUCAUGUUCAUGGU